CACACCGUAGGGUGUCAAGAGAGGUGCAUUUCCCAAGACAUGCCUCUCAGGUGGACUGGCUGCCCUCAGCUUUUGGGAUUCUUGGAAGCUGGGCAAAGCCCUUGGCCUCAUCUUGGGGAGACCCCGCAGCAGUCUGCUUCAAAACGUGCUUCCAUCCUCCCAGCACCCCAUUAGCCUCCAACUCCACAAACUCUGAGCCCCAGGUGGAGAGACAGUUCUAACCCAAAGCAUCAGUGGAAGGGGGAGUCUGCGCACUAGAGAUGGCAAGGUCCCACAGAGACACCCUCCUUACAAGGUUGACCACUGGAGUUCUCAGCUGUUUCUCUAUUGCUAACCAACUAUCCAUCAAUCCAUCCAUCCAUCCAUCCAUCCAUCCAUCCAGCUAGCCAGCCAGCCAUCCCUCUGGCAAACAUGUGGAGGCCACCU